rnacentral:sRNA from 1 species
CGCUCCUGCCCAACCGGGCGAAUAAAGCGUUGUCUGAAGGGCGCGGCUGGACCGCGCCCUCUGUUUUUCUGAAU